rnacentral:rRNA from 1 species
UAAUGUGCCCCUUAGUUCGGGAUAGCCACUGGAAACGGUGAUUAAUACCGGAUACUCCUUCUUGUUAUAAGACAAGUCGGGAAAGUUUUUCGCUAAGGGAUCAGUCUAUGUUCCAUCAGCUUGUUGGUGAGGUAAUGGCUCACCAAGGCUAUGACGGAUAUCUGGUUUGAGAGGAUGAUCAGACACACUGGAACUGAGACACGGUCCAGACUCCUACGGGAGGCAGCAGUGAGGAAUAUUGCACAAUGGAGGAAACUCUGAUGCAGCAACGCCGCGUGGAGGAUGACGCAUUUCGGUGUGUAAACUCCUUUUAUUAGGGAAGAUAAUGACGGUACCUAAUGAAUAAGCACCGGCUAACUCCGUGCCAGCAGCCGCGGUAAUACGGAGGGUGCAAGCGUUACUCGGAAUCACUGGGCGUAAAGGGUGCGUAGGCUGGCUUUUAAGUCAGAUGUGAAAUCCAAUGGCUCAACCAUUGAACUGCAUUUGAAACUGAAAGCCUAGAGUUCAGAAGGGGCAGAUGGAAUUAGUGGUGUAGGGGUAAAAUCCGUAGAUAUCACUAGGAAUAUCAAAAGCGAAGGCGAUCUGCUGGGAUGAUACGA